rnacentral:misc_RNA from 1 species
GAGUUCAUGCCCUCACGGGUAGAUCUCCCACCCUUGAAUAUUAUACCUUCGUUGCUUUGGCAGGCCGUGGAGACACCAGAGGCUCCGGCUGACGCGUGCCUGCCAGAGGAAACAAACUCUGUUUUAGUGAUGUCUGAGUACUAUAUAAUAGUUAAAACUUUCAACAACGGAUCUCUUGGCUCU